GAGAGACUAUGCAUUGUCUUUAUUUACCUGCAUUGUGAGAAUGUUCACAUAUUUCCUUGCCGACAUUAUGUGUUUGGCUAAAUGUUCUGGCUCUGAUGCAGUGAAGUACAAGUACUGCAUGGCUUAUGUGGUAUUUACAUCCUAUUGCCUUGCUAAAGACCAAGAAGAUCUGUCUUUGAAAAUACAUUUGACUUUCAUAAUUUCAGAUACAACAUUGUGGCCGUGAAGCUUUACACGUACGUAUAUGUCCCUGGAUAUACUCAUUUUGCUACAAGCAUCGAUAUGGCACUGACUCUCGGUCCCUCACUUGACGUGAGGGUAGAAACCAGUGAGCAAUUAAGCUCUCAACUGGCAAAGAGCCAACGAGAAUCAAAAGAACUGAAGGAGAAGCUUCUUAGAGCUGAGGCUAAGGCCUACCUCCUGGCAAAGCACCUGCGGGACCACAAUUGUGAAGAGUAUGAAGAUCUAAUUGAAUCAAUGCUGAGGGAGCC